rnacentral:rRNA from 1 species
UACGUAGGUGGCAAGCGUUGUCCGGAAUUAUUGGGCGUAAAGCGCGCGCAGGUGGUUCCUUAAGUCUGAUGUGAAAGCCCACGGCUCAACCGUGGAGGGUCAUUGGAAACUGGGGAACUUGAGUGCAGAAGAGGAAAGUGGAAUUCCAAGUGUAGCGGUGAAAUGCGUAGAGAUUUGGAGGAACACCAGUGGCGAAGGCGACUUUCUGGCCUGUUCUUGACGCUGAGGCGCGAAGGCUAGGGGAGCAAACGGG